AAUUGCAAGGCUUGCUUCUUGUUAAGCUAAGCUAAUGACAAAAUUACACAUCUGGAAACAAAAUAACCCACAAAGAGAGAGCAAAAAGACUAUACUUUCUUUCUAGAUUUUAGCUGUUAAAAACAGAAAACAAACAUCUGUAAGUGGAACAAGCACACAGACCCACUUUGAUAGUAAUGGCUAAAGCAGAUAGAAGACAGCUCAAUCACUGACACGCACAAAAAGCCCCAACCAUGAUUCGCCCUCUCAAACCCCAUUAAGUACUUUACCUUUCUUGAUAAUUCCUCCGCUUAAAGUUUGGUUUUUUUUUUCCCCUUAAAGGAGGUACCUUUGUGUUUUUUCAAGUUCACGGUUUCUGUGCUCAUUUCAUGAAUCUGAUGGAAUUUACUUCUAUCUUCACUUGGGUUCGUGUGUUUCAAUGGAUCGAGCACCUGGGUUGAUGUCAUUGAAGAUGGAAAUGCUCUUUGCAGCCUUAAUAUUGGCUUUCUUGCAAUCCUUUGUAUUGUCUGACCCACAAGGAGAUGCCCUAUAUGCAUUGAAGCUUUCGAUGAAUAUUCCAAACAAUCAAUUGACAGAUUGGAACCAGAAUCAAGUUAAUCCAUGCACUUGGACGAAUGUUAUCUGUGACAAAAGCAAUAAUGUCGUUUCUGUAACGCUAUCCGACAUCAACUGUUCUGGGACCUUGUCUCCUAUGAUAGGAGCUCUAAGGACUCUCACUACACUAACACUGAAAGGGAAUGGCAUAACUGGUGGGAUACCAAAAGAGUUCGGAAAUUUGUCAAGUUUGACCAGCUUAGAUUUGGAAAAUAAUCGUUUAAGUGGUGAAAUACCAUCUUCCCUGGGUGAUCUUAAAAAACUACAAUUUUUCAGGACAUUGAGUCAAAACAAUCUCAGUGGAGCUAUCCCUGAAUCACUUGCUAGUCUUCAAAGCUUAAUCAAUAUUCUGCUCGAUUCAAAUAAUCUCAGUGGUCAAGUUCCUAAUCAUUUAUUCCAAAUUCCUAAAUACAAUUUUACAGGAAACCACUUAAAUUGUGGUGGGCUGAAUUUGCAUCUCUGUGAAUCUUAUAGUGGUGAUUCAGGUGGUUCACAUAAGUCAAAGAUUGGAAUUAUAGUUGGAGUUGUGGGAGGAUUUGUAAUUCUUUUUCUGCUUGGAGGCUUGCUAUUUUUUGUUUGCAAGGGUAGACGCAAAGGCUACAGACGUGAAAUAUUUGUAGAUGUUGCAGGUGAAGUGGAUCGAAGAAUAGCAUUUGGUCAGUUAAAACGAUUUGCAUGGAGGGAAUUGCAGCUUGCCACAGACAACUUCAGUGAGGAAAAUAUCCUUGGACAAGGAGGAUUUGGAAAAGUUUAUAAAGGAGUGCUUGCUGAUAAUACCAAAGUUGCCGUGAAGCGUUUAACUGAUUUUGAAAGUCCUGGGGGUGAUGCAGCAUUCCAACGUGAAGUUGAGAUGAUAAGUGUAGCUGUUCACAGGAACUUAUUACGUCUGAUAGGGUUUUGCACAACGACAACAGAACGCCUCUUGGUGUAUCCAUUCAUGCAGAAUUUAAGUGUGGCCUAUCGUCUAAGAGAGCGUAAACCUGAGGAGCCUGUUUUAGAUUGGACAACCAGAAAAAGAGUGGCCUUAGGUGCAGCGCGUGGCCUGGAAUACCUUCACGAGCACUGCAAUCCUAAAAUUAUUCAUCGUGAUGUGAAAGCAGCUAAUGUACUACUUGAUGAAGAUUUUGAAGCAGUUGUUGGUGAUUUUGGCCUUGCAAAGCUGAUGGAUGUGAGAAAGACUAACGUGACUACUCAAGUUCGUGGGACAAUGGGCCACAUAGCACCAGAAUACUUGUCCACUGGCAAGUCAUCUGGAAGGACUGAUGUCUUUGGGUAUGGGAUAAUGCUUCUGGAGCUUGUUACAGGUCAACGUGCAAUUGACUUUUCACGCCUGGAAGAAGAAGAUGAUGUCCUAUUGCUUGACCAUGUCAAGAAGCUGGAGAGGGAGAAAAGACUGGAUGCUAUUGUAGAUCGCAACUUAAAUAAAAACUACAACAUCCAGGAGGUGGAGAUGAUGAUAAAAGUUGCUUUGCUCUGUACCCAAGCAUCGCCAGAGGACCGUCCAGCAAUGUCGGAGGUUGUGCGGAUGCUAGAAGGAGAGGGGCUUGCUGAAAGGUGGGAAGAAUGGCAGCACGUUGAAGUUACAAGAAGGGAAGAAUACAGCAGAUUGCAGAGAAGAUUUGACUUUGGAGAAGAUUCACUUUAUAACCAAGAUGCUAUUGAGUUAUCUGGUGGAAGAUGAGUUGCUCAUGUAGGCUCCUCGUUCUUCCUUUGUGUGAGCUCCUAUUGUCUGCGAUGAAACUAUUUUGGCGUUGAUAUGGUGGGCGUCUGCAAGGUUUCUCCCACCUUCAAUAGAUCCAGGAUUUUCCCCUGUGCCGUUGUCGAUGCUUUGACUGAUAAUAUCAUCAAACUCCAAGACUCUUCAUCUAGUUUUACCAGCCAAAAUCGGUCAUGGAUAAUCAUUUAUGUGAUCGAAAUUUUGUUCUCGGGAAGAGUGGUGCCAAGAUGCAAAAUUUCUACUUGUGAUUGCCACAAGCUCCCUGAAUUAUUUACUAAACUCUCUCAAGGUUCCUGCUGGAGUACGCGAAGGCAAAUUUGUCGAACAAGAAAAUUAUGCGAGUGGCAAGAGACUACCAGUGGUAGCGGGAGGCAGUGAGUGCAUCAACCUUUUCAAAAGUGCAGUCAGUGGUUCUAUUGGACCCAUGAAGCCAAAUAGCAGACACAGAAAUGCACACGGUUCAUUUUUAAGGUCUGCAUUCUA